AUUCCAGCUCCAAUAGCGUAUAUUAAAGUUGUUGCAGUUAAAAAGCUCGUAGUUGAACUUCUGAUAGUUGAUUUGGCUGGCUUCGGUCGCCUUGUUGGCUGUCAUCCGCUUGGGAAUUUCGUUCGGUCUUCAUUGAUUGGCGGGGGGAUCAAGCAUUUUACUUUGAAAAAAUUAGAGUGUUCAAGGCAGGCUAUCGCCAUGAAUACACAAGCAUGGAAUAAUGGAAUAGGACUCUCAGUCAUUUUAUUGGUUAUUGACUGAAAGUAAUGAUUAGUAGGGACAGUUGGGGGCAUUCGUAUUUAAUUGUCAGAGGUGAAAUUCUUGGAUUCGCUCAAGACUAACUUAUGCGAAAGCAUUCACCAAGGAUGUCUUCAUCA
rnacentral:rRNA from 1 species